UGCGCAGGCGGGGAUGUAAGUCAGUGGUGAAAUACUGCCGCUCAACGGUAGAACUGCCAUUGAUACUGCAUCUCUUGAGUAUGGUUGAGGUAGGCGGAAUGUGUUGUGUAGCGGUGAAAUGCAUAGAUAUGACACAGAACGCCAAUUGCGAAGGCAGCUUACUAAACCAUUACUGACGCUGAGGCACGAAAGCGUGGGGAGCGAACAGGAUUAGAUACCCUGGUAGUCC
rnacentral:rRNA from 1 species